CGCGAAGAACCUUACCUGGUCUUGACAUCCAUAGAAUUUUUUAGAAAUAAAAAAGUGCCUUUUAGGAACUGUGAGACAGGUGCUGCAUGGCUGUCGUCAGCUCGUGUUGUGAAAUGUUGGGUUAAGUCCCGCAACGAGCGCAACCCUUGUCCUUUUUUGCCAGCGGUUCGGCCGGGAACUACAAGGAGACUGCCGGUUAUAAACCGGAGGAAGGUGGGGACGACGUCAAGUCAUCAUGGCCCUUACGACCAGGGCUACACACGUGCUACAAUGGUACAUACAAAGAGAAGCAAAUUCGCGAGGAUAAGCAAAUCUCAUAAAGUGUAUCUUAGUUCGGACUGGAGUCUGCAACUCGACUCCACGAAGUCGGAAUCGCUAGUAAUCGUGAAUCAGAAUGUCA
rnacentral:rRNA from 3 species